rnacentral:lncRNA from 1 species
GGACUGUGGCCUAGACUUCCUUGGGACUGAGGAAUGAGCAGGACAGAGGGUCACCUGGUCCGUGGCCCCUGCCCCUGUUCCAGUAUGGCUUGAUCAUAACCUCGUGGGGCUUGGAUGUUUCCAUACCAGACAAGUGGACAAGGCAACGAUUUUAAUAAUGGGGGUAAGAGAAUUCUGCAUCUGGCUAAUUUUCUUAUUUUUAUGAAUUAUCUUAAAAAAAAUCUGAAAAUAGUCCCAAUCCUAAGAAAAACAGAUGGAUAUCAAAUCCGUUAUGUGGAUACCUAUGAAGAAGAAAGCCAGUCAGGUUCUGAAAGGGUAGGGCAAGCUCCAUGUGCAAUUAUAUUGGAACAGUUAAGGGGGGAGAUUUUUACUGAGUAGAGGGCAGUGUAUAUGGUUUAUUUAAGCUUCCAAAAGGUUUUGAAUUGUGUCUUUCGAAAAGACCUGCUAGGAAGUGCUAAUAAUUGAAGAUGGAGAGAAA